UUCAAGUCACAGGCAAAUGGAAAUACAGAAUACGGAAGCAGGUAGGGAGUUCCAGAGUUUGCGCAAUAAAUCAAUCAUAAAAAAAAAAAAUAUUGUGCAUACGACGCUUGCCUGAUACCGUGCAGCUGAUAAUUAUUCCUCCACAGCGGAGUGGGACACGCUGAUUAACUCACACUGGUUAUCAGUUGGAUCAUCAAACACGUGACGAGUGAACCCCGUUAUUGUGUACGUUAACCCAGUGUGUUGUGUUGACCUAAUUUGUCAGGGAGAGAAGUGGACCUAAACUCUUUUACUGUGAUGUGCAUCCACGGCAAUGGGAUCUCGAUACAGUCCUCCACAAGCACCUACACGAAGGAAAGAUAGAUCAAAACAACAUAUAUUCCAAUUUCUGAACUGCAUAUGUGUUUAACUUGAACUCCAGGAUGUUGACCGAGAAACGAAUCUUAAACCUACUAACCUGACAUGCAUUCCCUCACGGCACUCGGACCUCGGUAUCUCCACAAGCACCUACACGAAGCAAAGGUGGAUUAAAACAACAAAUAUUCCAAUUUCUAACCUGUAUGCAUGAGAAACAAACCUUUACCGUAUCAAUUUGAUGUAUAUCCAUCGGUAUUGGGAUUACGGUACAGUCCCCCACAAGCACACGAAGCUAAGGUGGAUUAGAAAAACAGAUAUUCCAAUUUCUAACCAGUUUAAAUGAAAAGAACAAACCUGAACUCUUUCACUGUGAUAUGCAUCCACUCACGGCACUGGGAUUUUGGUACAUUCCCUUACAAACACCUACAUAAAGUAAAGGUGGAUUGAAACAAUAGAUUUUUCGAUUUCUAACAUGUGUAAAUGUAUAAUUUAAGCUCCGGGGGUGUACUGUAACAGGGUGAUCCACGAGACUAUCCUUUCCACCAGGGAGUGAGGGAAGUGUGAAUAAAGAGUGAAUGAGCGGAUGGUGCUUUGUCUGGCCCGCCAUGUGUAUAAGUGGGGUAAAGAAAUCAAUGCCUGAAGGUCUUAAAGUGGUUGUGAUGAGGGAAUAAUGAUUAGAGAGUGGGGUACUUGAUGGAGGAGCGGGGAGAGGGGUAAAUGAUGCUGAUGCUGACUAUGAUCUGUCUCAGCGGGGUGGCAAGACAAGAUAAGCUGCAGAACUGAGCUGACAGUUUCAAUCAUUCGACAACCCAAACGUAACCUCUCCCCACGACACAAACCUCGGCGGUUACUUCAGUUUGAACGUGUGGGAAAGGGAAGUGAGUGUGAAGGAAAAGUAAAGCAUCAGAAACUGCAGAAAUUAAUUAACUCACUAGAUCUGAAGAGCCAAGACUUAUCACUAAAACUUAUGCUGAUAGUGUUCUCAAUCUGAACGAGUGGCGGGUAACGUGAGUGAAAGGAGAGCGACAAUGAUACACACCAAGAUGAAGCUCACUGCCUCGGGGUCUGACGCACCAAACCGACCUUCUUCAUACAGGAGGAGGAUUGUUUGUACUUCAUUGCCGUCUUGUGCAGUUUACUGAGACUAAUAAAAGGACUCCUGACGAAGAACUCUGCAACUACAAGACUGACGAAUCCUGCAGACACAUCCUGACAUCCUCCUCUGUGUAUCCUGCCGCUGCUUCCUGAAGGGAGUUGCGCAGGAAGGCAAAGGAUGGACGUUUCUCAGGAGACGGGAUCCAGCACUUCUUCAUGAGUGUGUACAGUUCCUUGGGGCAGUUAGCAGGUGGGGGGACACCGUGGCCUUUCCUAAGUUGUUCAACUAUAUCCUUGUUGCUCGCGUACUCUGCAGUGUUGAGAGUCGGGGUGAAGGGAAGGUUAUAGUUCAUAAGAUUGGGGUGAAGGAAAAAUCGGUUCUUCAAGGUUGGAGUGAAGGGAAAGACUGCGGUUCAUAAAGCUGGGGUGAAGGGAAAGGUUGAUAAGGUCGCCAUGUGCUUUGGAAGGUUCUAAGGCGUACGGUGGUAAAACGUGACCCAUCUAAUUAAAAUGGUAUGUAGGAUAAAAGAAAAAUAUAAGAAAAUAUGUCAAGUUGCAAGAACACAUAAGGCCUACACGUGGCAGUCCCUGUAUAAAACACCUAUUUAUUGCCAACUUUCAUCCCUAGCCAGACGUUUUGCCUGAUCCUUUAAAGCUCCUUAUGAUUCAACAAUAACAACCUCAUCUUUUUAUGUACGAAGGGAAACCUGACCAAGGGUAACAAGAGUGAAAAAAAAAGGCCCACUUAGAUGCAGGACCGAGAGAGUGAGUCAAAAGGAUAGGGACAAAUUAUUGAAUCAAGUAGUAAUAGUAAAGAUAAAAACUGUUAUACGGGCCGUUGAGAAGUGAAAGGUUGUAGAUAAAUCUCAGGUCGAGCCAGGAAUAAAUGUUAUAAAAGUAAUGCUGGGUCGAACUAAGAUUUAUACGACACCAUCACUACUCAGCAAAGGUAAAGAUUCCUAACGCCUCAUUCACUUAGGUUGGUGAUGAAAUACGCGAGACAUAACUGGAGGACAGACUAUUUAACACACUCACCAUGGCAAUGCAGGGGGCUACCCUUCACAACCUCCACCAUGAACAUCCCAAAGAGCCACACACAGGUCUUGCUCGUCACGCUACCACACGCAGAUAACUCCGGAAUCACGGGUGCGAAGCGCAGGGAAUCUGUCAGGGAACAAGGCUAUUCUGACACAUCUUGCUUUGCCUGACUGCCACCACCAUCACCACCACUACCUCCACCGUCUGCUACUGAAUAUACAUUACUCACAUGUCCUUUCCCACACAUAAGGCCCUUUAUGUAAUUCCCAAGGUUCUAUGUAUCUCUUCCUGAAUACUGAGUGAGCGGCAAAAUGAAGCAAGACGUGCA